ensembl:lncRNA
CAGGGUUAUGGUCAAGGUUAUGGUUAUGGUCAGAGUUAUAGUCAGGGUUAUGGUCAGAGUUGUGGUCAGGGUUAUGGUCAGAGUUAUGGUCAGGGUAAUGGUCAGAGUUAUGGUCAGAGUUAUGGUCAGGGUAAUGGUCAGAGUUAUGGUCAGAAUUAUGGUCAGGGUUAUGGUCAUGGUUAUGGUCAGGGUUAUGGUCAUGGUUAUGGUCAGGGUUAUGGUCAAGAUUAUGUUCAUAGUUAUGGUCAGAGUUAUGGUCAGGGUUAUGGUCAGGGUUAUGGUCAAGGUUAUGGUCAGGGUUAUGGUCAGAGUUAUGGUCAGGGUUAUGGUCAGAGUUAUGGUCAGGGUUAUGGUCAGGGUCAGGGUUAUGGUCAGAGUUAUGGUCAGGGUUAUGGUCAAGGUUAUGGUCAGGGUUAUGGUCAAGGUUAUGGUCAGGGUUAUGGUCAGAGUUAUGGACAGGGUUAUGGUCAAGGUUAUGGUCAGGGUUAUGGUCAGGGUAAUGGUCAGAGUUAUGGUCAGGGAUAUGGUCAGAGUUAUGGUCAGAGUUAUGGUCAGGGUUAUGGUCAGAGUUAUGGUCAGGGUUAUGGUUAUGGUCAGGGUUAUGGUCAGAGUUAUGGUCAAGGUUAUGGUCAGAGUUAUGGUCAGGGUUAUGGUCAGGGUUAUGGUCAGGGUUACAGCUAGCGGGAUGUCCUCUCCAUGAUGAUGCAAAACUGCCAUCUGUUUGAAUGUGUAACACCAAACCAACGUAGGCAAACCAAGUUAUUCCCGAUCUCAGACAUGUUAUAACAGACAUGUUAUAACAGAUGUUGUCAUGGAUGUAAAUGCUUUUAUGUGU